AUAUUAAACGAUAGUACAUAGACUAAAUCUAGACCGAUAGAGAAAAAAUAGCAUGGCCCUUAUACAAGGAUGACACGCAAUUUCGUGAAGCGUUCUAUAUAUUA